AGUUAAUGAUGGGGACACAACCUCAAUAAUUCUUUAAAUCUAUCCUAGUCGUCACACAAAGAAUCUCUAUUCGUUUGAACAAAAUUAGUAAUCUGAUUACUAAGCU